UCGCGGAAAGUGGUCGUGUUCUUUGCAAAAUUAAUUCGCGAUGUGAAUUUUGUAAUAAAUUUUCAGAUUUUCUUGAUUAGAUGAGUUCGCGUUGUUUCUUUUUGUAUUAUUCAGUGAAUUAUCGUGUGAUUUAAUGGUUUAGUGGCUAUUUGGAAAGCGAAGGCUCGUGAUACGCGCUUUUUGGGCGUGGCCACCCCCCUUCCCCUUCGGCCACACCCAUUCCCUUUUCUACCUUUCCCUUGUGUAUUGAUCUGUUCGUAACUUUGAUGUAGCGCGUACAAAAAAUGUUUUUUCUUCAAAUCUAUUUAAUGUGGCAUUUCGACUUACAGAUUUUUUAAUAUUCAAUUUAACUUUGAAUUUUGUAUUUGGAAAUUACAUUUUUUUGACAACAAUAUUUUGCAUGCAGUGUAUUUGGUGUGGUGCAAUAGGGUGGUAUAACCCAUAUUAUGGCAACGCUUGGCGAAUUUUUUGCUGUGCAUAAGAAGCGAAAAAUAUGGCUAGAAAGAGAUCAGCUUGGGCGAUCACCAACGAAUGCCCGCGCUAAAUUGAAGUGGAUGAAUACAAGGAGACUGAGAAUUAAUUGAACACGAUAACUCGUUAAUCGUGAUAAUAAUCUGAGAUCGAAGUUAGUAGAAAAACAAUCGGAAUGGAAAUGACUUGAAAAGACAAACUAGAGAUUGAAAUUACAAGCAUUCAAGAAUAAUAAAUUGAAAAAUUUUGAACCGGAAAUCAUUAGAAAUUAAAAUAAAAUCUGGUCAAUCAACCGAAUGAGAUACCAAAAGACAAAAGAAAUACAAAUAAAACAAUAACCAAUUGAAAACUCCAAUUACAAUAGAAGUCUACUCGUUGGCCUUUCUGGCAUACAUAAAAGAAUUUUACGUUGUUCUAAACUUGAAUCGUAAUACGACAAAAUCUUUGAAAAGACCACUUUAUAGCUGACGUUUGGCUCUGUACCCGCCCCUCCUUUCUUUAUCCUUUUUAUUUGUAUCUUUUGUUUCUAGAGCGUCGGUGGCGUAGUAUUUAAACCGGACUUGUAAUAUACAAGUCCGGCUUCGAUUCCCGCCAUGUACCAAUGUGUUAUUCGAAUUUCGAAUUGCAUAUGUACAUUUA